rnacentral:rRNA from 2 species
UCAGGACGAACGCUGGCGGCGUGCCUAAUACAUGCAAGUCGAGCGGACAGAAGGGAGCUUGCUCCCGGAUGUUAGCGGCGGACGGGUGAGUAACACGUGGGUAACCUGCCUGUAAGACUGGGAUAACUCCGGGAAACCGGAGCUAAUACCGGAUAGUUCCUUGAACCGCAUGGUUCAAGGAUGAAAGACGGUUUCGGCUGUCACUUACAGAUGGACCCGCGGCGCAUUAGCUAGUUGGUGAGGUAACGGCUCACCAAGGCGACGAUGCGUAGCCGACCUGAGAGGGUGAUCGGCCACACUGGGACUGAGACACGGCCCAGACUCCUACGGGAGGCAGCAGUAGGGAAUCUUCCGCAAUGGACGAAAGUCUGACGGAGCAACGCCGCGUGAGUGAUGAAGGUUUUCGGAUCGUAAAGCUCUGUUGUUAGGGAAGAACAAGUGCAAGAGUAACUGCUUGCACCUUGACGGUACCUAACCAGAAAGCCACGGCUAACUACGUGCCAGCAGCCGCGGUAAUACGUAGGUGGCAAGCGUUGUCCGGAAUUAUUGGGCGUAAAGGGCUCGCAGGCGGUUUCUUAAGUCUGAUGUGAAAGCCCCCGGCUCAACCGGGGAGGGUCAUUGGAAACUGGGAAACUUGAGUGCAGAAGAGGAGAGUGGAAUUCCACGUGUAGCGGUGAAAUGCGUAGAGAUGUGGAGGAACACCAGUGGCGAAGGCGACUCUCUGGUCUGUAACUGACGCUGAGGAGCGAAAGCGUGGGGAGCGAACAGGAUUAGAUACCCUGGUAGUCCACGCCGUAAACGAUGAGUGCUAAGUGUUAGGGGGUUUCCGCCCCUUAGUGCUGCAGCUAACGCA